GCAUGGUCUUAGCUUGCUAAGGCCGAUGGCGACCGGCGCACGGGUGAGUAACACGUAUCCAACCUGCCGUCUACUCUUGGACAGCCUUCUGAAAGGAAGAUUAAUACAAGAUGGCAUCAUGAGUCCGCAUGUUCACAUGAUUAAAGGUAUUCCGGUAGACGAUGGGGAUGCGUUCCAUUAGAUAGUAGGCGGGGUAACGGCCCACCUAGUCUUCGAUGGAUAGGGGUUCUGAGAGGAAGGUCCCCCACAUUGGAACUGAGACACGGUCCAAACUCCUACGGGAGGCAGCAGUGAGGAAUAUUGGUCAAUGGGCGAGAGCCUGAACCAGCCAAGUAGCGUGAAGGAUGACUGCCCUAUGGGUUGUAAACUUCUUUUAUAAAGGAAUAAAGUCGGGUAUGCAUACCCGUUUGCAUGUACUUUAUGAAUAAGGAUCGGCUAACUCCGUGCCAGCAGCCGCGGUAAUACGGAGGAUCCGAGCGUUAUCCGGAUUUAUUGGGUUUAAAGGGAGCGUAGAUGGAUGUUUAAGUCAGUUGUGAAAGUUUGCGGCUCAACCGUAAAAUUGCAGUUGAUACUGGAUAUCUUGAGUGCAGUUGAGGCAGGCGGAAUUCGUGGUGUAGCGGUGAAAUGCUUAGAUAUCACGAAGAACUCCGAUUGCGAAGGCAGCCUGCUAAGCUGCAACUGACAUUGAGGCUCGAAAGUGUGGGUAUCAAACAGGAUUA
rnacentral:rRNA from 1 species